AUGCGCCUCACCGGACAUGUAAAAGCUAGAGCCACCUCCGAUCCAGCCCGCCAAUCCACCGGUCCAAGCUUUCGGCCAGGUCACCGAUCCGCGGCAUCUCUCCCCCGGAUCGCGGUCUCGACCGUCCACUCCAUCCGCAUCCAACGGCAGGCAGAUGCCUCCUCAACCUCUCGUCCCCUUUAAAACGCCCUUCGCCCCUCUCCCCAAAUCACAGCAGCAGUCACCACCACCGUACCUCAGAUUCCACAUCCGCUCGCUCGCUCGCUCACAGGUCGAGAUCGUCAGCCAUGUCCGGGCGCGGCAAGGGAGGCAAGGGGCUCGGCAAGGGCGGCGCCAAGCGCCACCGGAAGGUGCUGCGCGACAACAUCCAGGGCAUCACCAAGCCGGCGAUCCGGCGGCUGGCUCGCCGUGGCGGCGUGAAGCGCAUCUCGGGGCUCAUCUACGAGGAGACCCGCGGCGUGCUCAAGAUCUUCCUCGAGAACGUCAUCCGCGACGCCGUCACCUACACCGAGCACGCCCGCCGCAAGACCGUCACCGCCAUGGACGUCGUCUACGCGCUCAAGCGCCAGGGCCGCACCCUCUACGGAUUCGGCGGCUAGGCCACCGGACCACCAGCUAGCUUUGUUUGGCGCACCGCGGUAGUAGUGUUCGUGGCCGGUCCUUGGGUGUAAUCGCCGCAUCUCGCUGCUGUUUGCCCUGGCCUUGUUUAGUUUGUCGUCUGGAUGUGCUAGGAUGGAAUGGAAACUGUAGCGGUUUGUUUACCCUUGAAUUCUUGUGUGAUCCGUGUUGCCUGUCGAUGUCUGUUCGUGCAAGUGGUCAGAUAUUAACCGUGUUCUUCAGUUGUCCA